rnacentral:sRNA from 1 species
UUUGCUUGUUUUUUAGAGGCAGGGUCUUGCUCUUGUCACCCAGGCUGGAGUGCAGUGGCACGAUCACAGCUCACUGCAGCCUCAACUUCCUGAGCUCAAGCGAUUCUCCUGUCUCAGCCUCUCGAGUAGCUGGGAUUAUAGGCAUGAGCCACCACGCCUGGCUAAUUUUUGUAUUUUUUUUAUAGAGAUGAGGUCUUGCCAUAUUGCCCAGGCUGGUUUCAAACUCCUAGGCUCAAGUGAUCUGCCUGCCUCAGCCUCCUGAAGUGCUGGGAUUACAGGCAUGAGCCACCAUGCCCAGCCUGCCCAGCCUCCUCAGUUCCAGAUUUUGAGGAAGCUGUCCCAGGAACCUGUGGCCACAGCCAUCCCAUCAGCUGUGACUCCCAGGCAGCUGACCCUGUUAUCGUGGCCAGAGAGGAUGCCUGAGGAAGAGGGAAAGGAGUCAGCCUGUCUUUCCAAGCUGAUUUGGAAAGCAGUGUGUGCAUGCGUAUGAAGAAACUGAGGCCCAUGGAGGAGUGACUUGUGCAAGGACACUCAGAAAGUGAGCAACAGAAUUAGGAUUUGGAUUCUGCCCCUGGCCAGUGUUAUUUUCAUCAGCACCUGGCCUCUUGAUAGAGAAGAAGCCAUCCUAUCUGACCAACUUCAGGCUAGUCUUAGAUGAGCCCUAGGCUGCAGUCAGGGCCCUCGGGCCACUCCAGAUCUCCUUGAUUCUGCCUUGAUUCCAUGUUUCCCUGAGGCUGUCUUGCCUCUCAGUGGGUGCCCCUGAAAUGCCAGGAACCCAGAACUGACCGGACAGUCAUGGUCCACAGAUCUCCUAGGGCAGGGAGCAGUCAUGGCAUUGGGCAGUGGAGAGAGGCUGCUUAGAGCAACACUGAGGGAAAACAGUCCUAGUUGGGAACCAAGGGGUACUGGAUUCCAGGGGUGGAGUCACCCAGUGACAAGGGACAGCAGUAAGAGAGUCCGAAAUGGGAGCUGAUGGGGGGUACAGAAUGGGGAGGGAGGGCUGGGGAGGGUCCUUCCAGCUGAGGAAGCAGCAGCCAGGGCUGGCCCUUACCCACACGCUCAGACUUCAUGGAGUCCCAGACAUUGCAGUUGAAGUCGUCGUAGCCAGCAAAUAGCAGGCGGCCACUGAGGGAGAAGGCCACGGACGUGAUGCCGCAGAUGAUGCUCUCGUGGGAGAAGCAGAUCAGCUCCUGGUCUGCCCGCAGGUCAAACAAGCGGCAGGAAGCGUCAUCCGAGCCCGUGCAGAUGGCCUCUCCAUUGGGGAAGAACUGAGGGCACGGGUGGCAAGUGGGUCAGGGAUCAGACCUGGGCAGCCCACAGCCUCUCCCACCCUCUGCCUCCCACCUGACAGCUCCAGGGCAAGCCGCUGCUCUCAGCCUCCCUGCCUGUCCCUUCCUUGGUUUGGGGUGAGAAGCAGCCCUGCCAACACAUACCACGUGCCAGUGACUUCCCUAUGCCCCUCGCCCGCUCUGCACUAUACAGCGCUGCAGGCAGGCAUCAUUUCCAUGUCGCAGGCAAGAGCACCAAGGCUUGCCUGCAGUGACCCGGCUAGAAGGGCGGACGGAGGUUGUCCCAGACUCCCAGACUACACAAGUGGGCUGGAUCAGGGUGUGCAAGAACAGGGUCCAGUACAAAUGCAAGGCCUGGAUCUCAUGGCGAGCAAAUGUCAGAUAAGCUCAAACGGAGGGAGAGUCUACAGAAAACUGGUUUGUACUCUUCAAAAAUGUCAAUGACAUAAAAGACAAAGGUGGGAAAACAGUUCCAGUUUAAAGGUGGUGACGAAAAAGAUAUGGCGAGGAAAGGUAAUGCACGUUUCUGGAUUGGAUCCUGGACAGAAAAAAACAUGAGCUAUUAUGGACAUUUUUGAGGCUAUUGGUGAAAUUUGAAUAUAGACUGUAGACUGUAGUAUUGUGUCAAUGUUGAGUUUCCUGAUCUUAAGAAUCAUACAGUGAUUAUGCUACAGAAGGGCUUUGUUUCAGGAAGUACUUAAGGGGU